GCUGGCGGCAGGCCUAACACAUGCAAGUCGAACGGCACCUUCGGGUGUAGUGGCGGACGGGUUAGUAACGCGUGGGAACGUGCCCUUCUCUACGGAAUAGCCUCGGGAAACUGGGUUUAAUACCGUAUACGCCCUUCGGGGGAAAGAUUUAUCGGAGAAGGAUCGGCCCGCGUAAGAUUAGAUAGUUGGUGGGGUAAUGGCCUACCAAGUCUACGAUCUUUAGCUGGUUUGAGAGGAUGAUCAGCAACACUGGGACUGAGACACGGCCCAGACUCCUACGGGAGGCAGCAGUGGGGAAUAUUGGACAAUGGGCGCAAGCCUGAUCCAGCCAUGCCGCGUGAGUGAUGAAGGCCUUAGGGUCGUAAAGCUCUUUCGCCUGUGAAGAUAAUGACGGUAGCAGGUAAAGAAACCCCGGCUAACUCCGUGCCAGCAGCCGCGGUAAUACGGAGGGGGCUAGCGUUGUUCGGAAUUACUGGGCGUAAAGAGUGCGUAGGUGGUUUAGUAAGUUGGAAGUGAAAGCCCGGGGCUUAACCUCGGAAUUGCUUUCAAAACUACUAAUCUAGAGUGUAGUAGGGGAUGAUGGAAUUCCUAGUGUAGAGGUGAAAUUCGUAGAUAUCAGGAGGAACACCAGUGGCGAAAGCGGCUUACUGGCCCGAUAUUGACGCUCAUGUACGAAAGC
rnacentral:rRNA from 1 species